ACAUUGCAAUGGCCUGUGAACAUCAUUAGUGCCAAAGGGCGCUGACACAUGAAAUACGAGUUAUAAUAUCGUUGUUACGUCGAUUCCGAUGGGGAUGGAGCAAACCAAUGUACCUAGCUUGCUAAUGUCAGCUGACGUAAGAGGUUUUGAAAUUAGCUAGCCAACGUUACUACAGCUAGACGUCUGCCUGACCGGAAAAUUUGCUAACGUUAGCUUAUCACCGAAAACUAGCUAUCAAUUUUUGUACCUAUCACCGUUAAGCGCUCCAUAAUCCUGAGGACAUUGUCUCGGACAGAGGUUCCCCCAAUUGAGGACAUCUUGGCAGUCUUAAAAUUAAGCUAAAUGCAAACAUAUACGCAAGGGAACGUCGCUUUAAGACUUCUGCCAGUGUCACAUCUGUUCCUGCAACGCCUUCUACUGCUCAUCUUGUGUCUCCUCGACCCGCCGCCACUCCCCCAGUACUCUCUCCCUCUCUCGCUGUGUGUGUGUGUGUGUGUGUGUGUGUGUGUGUGUGUGUGUGUGUGUGUGUGUGUGUGUGUGUGUGUGUGUGUGUGUGUGUGUGUGUUGGAGUCAGAACAGAUCCCCACCAGCUGCAACCUGUUUCAUAAUCAAGACCUCUACAAAUACUCAGCCCUGCCACUUCCACACUGCCAGAUCGUAAUCUCUGCUCAUUCUGCCUGCUCUGACUCUGGUCCCUGUCUCCAGUCCCACAUUUCGUCAUCCUGCUACUCUGUCCUGGAUUCCCCACUCUACUACUCCCUUGGAUACCCCUCCGAACAUGCUUACCCUGUCUCACCCCCUCUUGCCUCCGCACCUGGUUUCCUGCAACCCAGCCGAGCUCCCCGACCUGCACUCCAUCUUCCCCCUGUGUUUCAAUA